CCUUAAGGCAUGCACUUAAGCAAUAGAGAAAUUUACUUUUCAGUGUAUUCCAAGGUCCAUGAGGAUACACACUUACAUAUCCAGAGAGUAUGGAUCUCACAUAUAUUUGUCCAGAGAGUGUGACUCUGUGGAGGAGAACGCUUUGGGUGGACAGUUCCAGAUGUUGAAGUCAGCACAACAAGAGAAAAACCCAAAUCCUGAUAAGACUUGAGGAUUUUUCGAAAAUUCAUUGCAAAAUAGUUGGGGCAAAUGUUGCUGCAGGAGUCAAGACUAAGUCACUCAGUAAGAAGAAUGAAGCCGGAGAGCUCCACAUGUUCUUCUCUGCACACAGUUUGCAUAUGUGCAAACCCUGGACUUAAUGACUUUAGGGGGCAGAAUUCAGCUCUUGGAACUUAAAACAGCAGACUCACCUGAACUGGAAUGUGCACUGUGGCCCUCACUAUUUAAAUAUUUCUUUGCAAAGUCCUUCUGUUUCUAAAUAAAGUCUAUGCCUUCUGAAAUCUGUAACGAUGAUGCACACUGGCCACAUCAGAUCUUUCAAAAAUGUUUUCCAAAUUCAAAACUGUUAGUGUGAAACAAAUGUUUGUUUUGGAAAUAGUUAAAACAAGGGAGAUGGGAGGAUUGGUUUCAGAGACCAGUUACCACUUCUGCUUUAUGCCUUAAUAUUCCUUCUCUUUUUCUCUCAGCCAAGAACUCUUAAGAUAGAUGUGUGAUGGAUUUUUGGUUGAAAAAACUUGUAAAACAACAUUUUUGUGUUAUAAAAGCUUAGAACAAAAUAAAACCAAACCCAGCCACCUGAAUGUGUGAUAGAUUGCACAGAAGGAUUUG
rnacentral:lncRNA from 1 species